AAGAUUUCUGCUGCAGUGGGAUAGAUUUAAGCUUUCCAUAGCAACAAACCAGAAAUCCUCUUGUGAAAUCCAAGAGGAUCAGAAUAACGAACAAAUUCAUUGUGAACAUACUUCAGCUUGAUGUCGUUCUGUUUUAUCAGCUGCUGCAUGGGACUGGAGAGUUGAUCCUGUGCUGUACCCAGAACUGCCUGGAGAUUCCUCAUAUAAAUCUUGUUGCCUACAUGAUUGAAACUCCACCAGUUAGACCUCAUAAGCUGUCGAAAGCUACUUACAUCAGAAUAUAUUUAUGCUAUUUCUACCUCCAUAAUAGUUGACUUUCCAUAUUAUCAUGGGCUAAAUCCUCUGCCAAGUCUCUGUAAUCAUCGAAUAGAAAAUCCGUUUCAGAGAUUCUGUAGCUUAGCAGAUUGCUAUCUUUGUUUCGGUUUAAGAAAUCUUGCAGUUCCUGAAAAUUAAAAGACAAUAUUAGGGAACUUGCGAAUUCUGUUUCCAACUUGUUGACUAGAAACUGCAAAACUGAGAUACUCAUUGCAGAGGAGAAGACUUCACCAACAGCCUACCAACAUAUGUAGCACAUAGAUCUAUGGGUUGGUUUGGUCAUUCAAUAUUUCUAGCUUGAAGAUAUCAUAACUAAGUCAACCUUACUAAAUGGUCAUUACCACCUUUUUGCAGAUUUCUCUGAAAUCACCUCAGGUUUUUGAGGGUGCAAAAGUAUUAGGUAUGAUGAUUAGAGUUAAGUGUGUCCUAGUGGACUAGUUGGACUGGGUGUUGGGCUGGGGGUUGGCGAAGUUCUAACCAGGGGUGGCAAUGGGGCUGGAGUUUAUCCAAUACUGGACCCUACCCAUUUCAAACAUUGCUCAACCAAGACCCACUCCAACCCAUGAAGCAGACAUGGGGCUUGCCAAUUUUCCAAGGCAAUGGGGCAGGACCUGAUAUGUUCGAGGGCAGAUAAGAUAUGAUUAUAGAACACAACACGCACAGGACAGAAGCAUAGCAAUCCAAGUAAGUACACAAUAUGGCAGAGUAGAGAAAGUCGAAUAAUUCAGGAUCCAACGGUCAGAUGGAGCUGAGAUUUAGUUCAAUUAGACCCCGCACUAUAGUUAUCAAGGUGACAAGGUGACCAAGGCGAUGGAGGAUGUCAAAAAAACAAGGCAACACCAACAAGGCGACACCUUAGCACCUAGGCUAAGUUAGGCCAAGGUUGGGAGUAGCUUGUAAGUUAGCAUUGCAAGGAAAUGAAACUCCCUUAAAAAGAGGAAACAAUUACAAUAGAAAUAGAAAGUAAUCCAUGAUAGAAACUCGUACUUAGCCUAACUUAUUCACCAAGUAGCUAUUACAUGAAAGUAGAAAUGAAAAGGAGCUAUAACAUGAAAAUAGAAAGUAAUUUGAAACUCCAAAAAGAUCUUGGCAGUUCCUAUUCGUUCCAUGCCAUCUGUCCUCAUGUCGCCCAUGCUAGGCCAUGUGAAACCCAAGUCUGGUCCAAACAGCCUGGCCUACAUGAUGGCCUAGUUAAGGACCAGAACCAGAACCGUGGCCACUGUUAUGGGCCUGGUUCUGGCCUAGGGCCUUAACCAUUGUCUGCUGGCCUUUCUUCUUCCUCAUACGUGCAUACCUGUACUGCAUCAGAGCCCCUGCAGGCUCGCUUGAGAUCUGGCAGGGUGUGUGGCCCAUUGGUCUUUUUCAAACCCAAACCAAACCCUAACCCAGUCUAGGAGGGCUGGCUGGGAUAUGGUUCUCAUUUAACCUAUCCAUUACCUUCCCUAUUUCUGACUAAUCUUUGUCCAGGUCAAAUGAUAUGUCAUGUUUGGCUAGUUGCCUAUUUGUCUAACCCAGACCGGUUUCUAAUACAGAUUGCAAAUAAGGACAUAAUAUCCAUGUCUGAGCUGGUUUCAAUGUGGGAUGUCAAUAUCUGACAUGGUUUUCCUCAAACAUCAUCUUUGAGUAUAUUUUAACCCAAACCUGAUGGUCGAAUGAAAUCUUAUCAAGGUAAUAAACAUAUUUUAACCUAAAUAAUCUUGUUAUGUUUCAUGUAUUAGCAUUUCAAAUUCAGACAAACUGUCAAUAUAUCUGAAUUGUCAAACCAAACUCGACCUGGUUAUUUGCUAUAUGGCAUUCUUGUUCGAACCUGCUUUUAUCUGGGUUGGACAGAAUCGGUUCAAUGGGCCAGUCAAUUUUUUUUGGCUACCCUAGGAGUUUUUCUUUUUCUAUUUUCUCCUGAUCCACCCCUAGGUUGACUGCUUCUAAUUGCUCUGUCCAUGGACCACCAGGCACAAUGUUACUAUUCGAUUAACUUAGACUUUUGCAGUCAGACGGUUUGGACUGUUACCUCUAAGCCCAAGAGGUCCAAGGCCUGGUCAGUUUUCGAAUAUAUUGGUCUUUGAGCCAUAGGAUUUCCUAGGAAGGGCCACUACAGUAGAUAUGUGAUGCAUGGGCUGGAUGUGGUGAUGGACUGUUGGUAGACCAUCACAAAAGAAUUACAUUCAGUACCUCCACUUGAAAAUCUAAGCAAGUACGAUUAUUUCCCUCACCUUCCAGGCAUUUUCAAGACUCUGGUUGGUGUUAUCUGUGUUAACUUUCAGUGCCAGCGAGCUGAGCAGUUCUGCUUGCUGCAUCAAAGCAGUGAUCUUUGGGUCAUCCCUUCUAAGAAAUGUUCCCUGGACCUUGUUAUCUUCAGCUGCCAUUGAUCAGAAGGGAAAAUUGGUGUUAACUUCUCUUGAAGGAAACAGUGGUGGUCUGUUAAGGGGAAGAAGAAAAUGAGAGGAAUGAAUAAUGGACAAAAACAACAAAAAUGCAGUGGGGAAACUUUGGCCAACAUUCUGUUGGUCACCGUAACACACAUGCUGUUCCUCCCACUAAUGUUACCCGUAUAUGGCAAGGACAUGGUUCAGUGUGAAAUCUACUUUGAAAAUAGGAGUAUCCAGGUUUGAGAGGUGGUUUACCAUCAUUAAAGGCUACUUUGGUGUUGUUGCUGACUUGCUGCUGAGCUGACAAGUUGCCAACAUUGUGGAAGUUUUGAACCAAUUCCGCAAAGGGAGGUCUCAACUGCUGUUUCUCUGUGC